UCCUGUCUCGGGAUUUACCAGGCCUUUCAAGGUCCUCUCCAGAAUGACGAGUCCUCUGAGUGGAUAUCCAAGCAUCAGAACAGCACCACCCAAUCUUGGAGCUGAAAACACUUCUUCACUGUCUUCCACAGGCCCCAGUACUGCACUGUCCAAUCCUGGAGCUCAGAGCACUUCUUCACUGCCCACAGCAGGCCCGGGUACAGGUAGGUUCUUUCAGUGACCCUAAUAUGGUCAGAGAUGGAGUUGUGGUGACAGCCCAAAAUCCAGGAUUUUUCAAUUCCAGCCAAUUCCUCAUAUUCAUUCCUGACCUCUGUGUAUAAACAUUCAUCUCACUCCUCAUACCUCCCUUCCUAUUGGGAUGAAGAUGGAGUGGGUUAGUUCAGUAGACACCAGUAAAAUGUUUCACAUUGCCCACACGCAGUUAUACCAUAACCCAUAUCUCUGCCAGAUUUUCAGAGGAAGGUGGUUCUGAUUUCUUCCCGGGACAAGAGAGGAUUUGGUUGGGGAUGUGACUCCAAGAACAGUCUAAUGAUGAUAUGCUUCUCCCCUCAGGAAUUGAUAUAAUUUCUCAUCCUAGAUUGUUCCUGCUCUCCUUUGCUCAGGGAACUGGGUUCAGUUCAGCACGAGUUGUUACCAGUAUUCUGCUGAAAAGAAACCUUGGAAGGAGAGCCAGCAGGCCUGCAAGUCCCAGAACUCCACCCUCUUGCACAUAGAUGGCCUGAGAGGGCUGGUAUACGUCCAUACCUUAUUCAUUUAUAUUAAUGUAUAUCCCCCUCAGUAGGCUUUAAGGUCAUCGUGGACAGGGUACAUGUCUAACAACUCUGUCAUAUUGUGCUAUCCCAGGCACUGAGUGGAAUGUGCUGCACAUAUGCACGCAGUAAGUACUCAAUUAAUUCCCUUGCUUGAAUGAAUAAUUCAUAUUCCCUCUCCCUGGAUUGGUUGGCUUUAACACUGGCAUCUGGAGGGAAGCUGUUCUGGUUGAAGUAGGAAGAAUGUGACUGUCCAGAUGUGGGUAUCACUGAGAGAGCCAAUGAGAAAAGUGGAUUUGCUUGUGCCUUUCCAUAGUGGAGAAUUGAAUUUCCUCCUGUGUUCCUGAUUUCCUACAGAAUUUCUUUAAAUUCUUCACACUUUCUGAAUGGAUCGGACUAUCCCGUACUGGACCUGGUAGUUCUUUGAAGUGGGAAGAUGAAGCAACUUAUACCAGAAAUUUUCUCUCCUUCACCAACGAAAGAAAGGGUGGAGAUUGUGCAUUAUAUUUAAAUGAAAAAUCAAUAAGUAUGGAAGACUGUGCAAUCGGGAAACCGCAUAUCUGUGAGCGCCAAGUAGUGUAAUCUCUUUCCCCGGAAUCCAUGGAACCACCACCUCCUGGAGCAUCCUCUGCACAGAGACUUAGUGAAAUAUUCACAGACUCCUCAUCGCUUCAGUCUUCAGACACUAUUUCUAGGUGUAUUUUUUCUGUCUUCCUUGUCUGGCAUCUCAGAAAUCAUCAGCACAGCAGCUAGAUGGGAUUGAAGCAUGCAGAUUAAGAGUAAGAGAGAGAGAGGCAGAAGCACCACUAACCCCCUCACCUUGAAAUUUUUUACAUUCCAUGAGCAUUCCCUCUAUCACUAACCUGAGUUUUUUAAAAAAAAAACUGUAAAGAAAUGAAUUUCCCAAUGAUGGAUUAUUAAAUUCUAUGUCAUUUUAAUAAAUUAUCCUUCUAGACUAUAAGCUCGUUGUGGGGAGGGAAUGUGUCCAUUAUAUUGUUAUAUUGUACACUCCCACUUAGUAAAGUGUUUGGCAUGCAGUAAAUGCUCAAUAAAUACAACUGAUUAAGGAAAGUUUUAAUUCAUGCCCUACUCUUCCAGGAAGCCAAACUCCAAUGAGGGGAAAAGAUGACAAUUAGUAAAAUGGUACCUCACACAACUUCCAUAGUUGGGAUUAGUACCAGAUGUGUUGUCUGUGUUCAUAUAUAUGGGGUCUUUGAAGGAUAAAACGAUGCUUCAGCAAAGGUAAAUUCCAACCCAGA